rnacentral:rRNA from 29 species
GAGUUUGAUCGUGGCUCAGAUUGAACGCUGGCGGCAUGCCUUACACAUGCAAGUCGAACGGCAGCACGGGAGCUUGCUCCUGGUGGCGAGUGGCGAACGGGUGAGUAAUGCAUCGGAACGUAUCCUGGAGUGGGGGAUAACGUAGCGAAAGUUACGCUAAUACCGCAUAUUCUGUGAGCAGGAAAGCGGGGGACCUUCGGGCCUCGCGCUCUUGGAGCGGCCGAUGUCGGAUUAGCUAGUUGGUGAGGUAAAGGCUCACCAAGGCGACGAUCCGUAGCAGGUCUGAGAGGAUGAUCUGCCACACUGGAACUGAGACACGGUCCAGACUCCUACGGGAGGCAGCAGUGGGGAAUUUUGGACAAUGGGGGCAACCCUGAUCCAGCCAUGCCGCGUGAGUGAAGAAGGCCUCGGUUGUAAG